GGAGUUGAGGUUUACAAACUCGACUCGACGUUUGGUACUUAAAAAGUGAUGCGCGUUAGCAAGCUUCUUCUGAGGUGACACGAAUUUGACUGAAAGCCUGGUCAGGGUUGCAGUGGAUCCAGCUUCCUGGAAUCACUGGUCUCAAUGAAGUAACACACCCCGGACAGAACACCAAUCCAUCACAGGACCUUGGGUCAAGGAUGGACACUAGUGGGUGAUGUGGGUCUGAUUUUAGCAGCUGUCUGGAGCCUAUCCCAGCUUUUUUCAAUGGGCGCAAGGCACACAGUAACACCCUGGACACGACGCCAGUCCAUCGCAAGGCAUACACACACACACACACACACAUUCACCUAUAGGGCAAUUCAGUGUCUCCAAUUAACCUGAAUGCAUGUUUUUGGACUGUGGGAGGAAACCGGAGCUCCCGGAGAAAAGACACAGGAAGAACAUGCAAACUCCACACAGAAAGGACCCGGACUGUUCCGCCUGGGGAUCAAACCCAGGACCUUCUUGCUGUCAAACCCAGGACCUUCAAACCCAGGACCACUUGACAGUGCUACCCACCGAGCCACCGUGCCGCCCUCAUACCAUUAUAACUUCAAAUAAACGCUUGCACAGCACCUGUGCGCAAUGCAAAAAUGCCAAUUUAUUGCACCCACAUUUUCGCUUACUCACACCAGGGGCAAUUUAGAGAAG